rnacentral:tRNA from 1 species
CUUGACAGAGCUUGACAGAAAAGCACCUCCUUUACACAGAGUAGAAAUUUGUUCAACCCAAAUUGUCUUGA